UACGGAGGAUGCGAGCGUUAUCCGGAUUUAUUGGGUUUAAAGGGUGCGUAGGCGGUCCGUUAAGUCAGCGGUAAAAUUGCGGGGCUCAACCCCGUCGAGCCGUUGAAACUGUCAGACUUGAGUUGGCGAGAAGUACGCGGAAUGCGCGGUGUAGCGGUGAAAUGCAUAGAUAUCGCGCAGAACUCCGAUUGCGAAGGCAGCGUACCGGCGCCACACUGACGCUGAGGCACGAAAGCGUGGGUAUCGAACAGG
rnacentral:rRNA from 1 species